GACUGCUUAGCACAGUGGUAGUGCGCCACUCUACUGAAGCGGCGGUCGCGAGUUUGAUUUUCGCAGUGGUUU